UACGUAGGGCGCGAGCGUUGUCCGGAAUUAUUGGGCGUAAAGAGCUCGUAGGCGGCCUGUCGCGUCAAUUGUGAAAGCCCGGGGCUUAACCCCGGGUCUGCAGUCGAUACGGGCAGGCUAGAGUGUGGUAGGGGAGAUCGGAAUUCCUGGUGUAGCGGUGAAAUGCGCAGAUAUCAGGAGGAACACCGGUGGCGAAGGCGGAUCUCUGGGCCAUUACUGACGCUGAGGUGCGAAAGCGUGGGGAGCAAACAGG
rnacentral:rRNA from 1 species